GAGGUUUGAAGGGACUCUGUGGAGAUCUUCUGGUUCAACCCCACUGCACGAAGCAGGGUCACUAGAGCCAGCUGCCCAGGACCAUGUCUAGAUGGCUUUUGAGUAUCUCUAAGCCUUGCUGGGCAACCUGUCCCAGAAUUUGACCAUCCUCAGGAUAGUGCAGUGGGUGCCAAGCUGCUGGCUCAGAGAAUGGUGCUCAGAUGGACAUGCCGAGGGAUGCCCACAGACGUAGAACCCACCAUCCAGCAGCUUUUCUGCUCUGGACACAGAGGCAGAUUGUUUCCCCCUGUGAUCAGACCUUUCCUCUUGCAGAGCACUCCUUGAAACUCAUAUAUCCUUUUUGCGCAAGUGCUUUGUUCUAAUGUCCAUCUGGUUUUGACUAGAAGAGUCCUCGGGGCAAAGAAAGAGAGACUAUGGCUCUACUUAUUUAACCACAGUAUUCUGAUAAGGAUAUAUGAAUUUCCCGUUAACAUAGGAGCCACAUACUUCUUUCUGCUUUAUCCAUUCAGUGUACAUUAAAUAAUCAAUAAAGAUUUUUUUUC